UACGUAGGGUGCGAGCGUUGUCCGGAAUUAUUGGGCGUAAAGGGCGCGUAGGUGGUUCUGUAUGUCUACCGUGAAAGCGUACGGCUCAACCGUAUUUUGUCGGUAGAAACUGCAGGACUUGAGGCUGGGAGGGGCUGGUGGAAUUCCCUGUGUAGCGGUGAAAUGCGUAGAGAUGGGGGAGAACACUCGUGGCGAAGGCGGCCAGCUAGACCAGUUCUGACACUGAGGCGCGAUAGCGUGGGGAGCAAACAGG
rnacentral:rRNA from 1 species